UGCUGGGUGGAUUAGUGGCGAACGGGUGAGUAACACGUGAGUAACCUGCCCUUAACUCUGGGAUAAGCCUGGGAAACUGGGUCUAAUACCGGAUAGGAGCGCCUACCGCAUGGUGGGUGUUGGAAAGAUUUAUCGGUUUUGGAUGGACUCGCGGCCUAUCAGCUUGUUGGUGAGGUAAUGGCUCACCAAGGCGACGACGGGUAGCCGGCCUGAGAGGGUGACCGGCCACACUGGGACUGAGACACGGCCCAGACUCCUACGGGAGGCAGCAGUGGGGAAUAUUGCACAAUGGGCGCAAGCCUGAUGCAGCGACGCCGCGUGAGGGAUGACGGCCUUCGGGUUGUAAACCUCUUUCAGUAGGGAAGAAGCGAAAGUGACGGUACCUGCAGAAGAAGCACCGGCUAACUACGUGCCAGCAGCCGCGGUAAUACGUAGGGUGCGAGCGUUAUCCGGAAUUAUUGGGCGUAAAGAGCUCGUAGGCGGUUUGUCGCGUCUGUCGUGAAAGUCCGGGGCUUAACCCCGGAUCUGCGGUGGGUACGGGCAGACUAGAGUGCAGUAGGGGAGACUGGAAUUCCUGGUGUAGCGGUGGAAUGCGCAGAUAUCAGGAGGAACACCGAUGGCGAAGGCAGGUCUCUGGGCUGUAACUGACGCUGAGGAGCGAAAGCAUGGGGAGCGAACAGGAUUAGAUACCCUGGUAGUCCAUGCCGUAAACGUUGGGCACUAGGUGUGGGGACCAUUCCACGGUUUCCGCGCCGCAGCUAACGCAUUAAGUGCCCCGCCUGGGGAGUACGGCCGCAAGGCUAAAACUCAAAGGAAUUGACGGGGGCCCGCACAAGCGGCGGAGCAUGCGGAUUAAUUCGAUGCAACGCGAAGAACCUUACCAAGGCUUGACAUGUUCUCGAUCGCCGUAGAGAUACGGUUUCCCCUUUGGGGCGGGUUCACAGGUGGUGCAUGGUUGUCGUCAGCUCGUGUCGUGAGAUGUUGGGGUUAAGUCCCGCAACGAGCGCAACCCUCGUUCCAUGUUGCCAGCACGUAAUGGUGGGGACUCAUGGGAGACUGCCGGGGUCAACUCGGAGGAAGGUGAGGACGACGUCAAAUCAUCAUGCCCCUUAUGUCUUGGGCUUCACGCAUGCUACAAUGGCCGGUACAAUGGGUUGCGAUACUGUGAGGUGGAGCUAAUCCCAAAAAGCCGGUCUCAGUUCGGAUUGGGGUCUGCAACUCGACCCCAUGAAGUCGGAGUCGCUAGUAAUCGCAGAUCAGCAACGCUGCGGUGAAUACGUUCCCGGGCCUUGUACACACCGCCCGUCAAGUCACGAAAGUUGGUAACACCCGAAGCCGG
rnacentral:rRNA from 1 species